AUGUUGCUGGGUUACAUUUCUCUGGAUAUGAUUACAUUGUGGUCAAGUGACUCCAUGGUGUGUUUUUGAACAAAUCAGAUAUAACUUUGUAGUCUGUUCCGGCACUGAAUAGGAUUUUCCAAGGCAGAGUAUGCGGCCGCACUUUCCAUUUCACUCCAAGCACAGAGACUGCCUAAGGGCUUCCUCCGACAACAAGGCUUCUGAUGGAGAAUGCUCUCUGCUGACACCUGAUGCCCGUAUCAGGAACUGUCCCGGUAGUUUCGCGGGAUCUACCCACUUCAUCCGGCCUCUGAGAGGCCGGAUGAAGUGGGUAGAUCCCGCGAAACUACCGGUGUAGCCUCCGAGCGCUCCUUGAAGACGCCAAUUCCACCGAUGUCCCCGGACUCCGAUGAAUGACAGCCAUAGCCUAACGAGUAAGCCUGGGGACAUGGCGAGACUCCCGCAACAUUAUUGCUUUUUCAGGAGUGCUAAGAAAAAACAGCGCCCCCACAAAGUACACAGGAGAAAUGCAGAACUGCAUCUCUCCAUCCCCCAACAAUCAAAAGUGUCUCCUCCGCAAUAACCACCAACCACAAGUAGCUAUUACGCCUCAUUUAUGGCGGAGGUAUGCCGUAGUUUUAAUGAAGAUUUCCUAUUCUGUUGUGCUGUGUUUAUUCUAACAAGACAUUGGAAAAAAUGACAAGAACUUUGGUGGUUUAUAUCUCACAUUGCGCCAGGAGUGGAAGCCUAGUGGAGAAUUUCGCAAUGUAAAAUGUGGACUGUAUUAACAGAAAUGAAGAAAAAAAAAAAAAAUAGAAGAAGGUAAAGUAAGGACAAUAUUUUUUAACCUUCGGUGAUGAACAAAGCAGAUCUUACCACAGGUCCCGUCUUUCCACGUGGUCCUGGUGGCCCUGGGAGACCCUGGCUGCCCUGCAUCAAAGAGUGUCUUCUGGGUGUAUGAACCGCAGUGACUGGCCACAUAAAAACAGGGUGACCCUACGGUGCCGUCCAUACUACAGAAGGCUGCGCGAGGAGGGAGAGGGACUUGUUUACGUUCACAAUUUGCUGGAAAGAGAAGAUCAGAGGGAACGAAGAACCGAAAACAAACCGCAACAGGCCACAAACAUUCUUAUGGGCUUUUGAACAAGAACAUCAAACCCUGGACGUUGUCCAAAAAAAGUCCAAAAGUAUUUUACGAGAGCAUUUUGUAUGUCCUCUGCAAACAGCCCUUCUAUCCACUCACCAGCGUACGCUAUAUAUGUGUAUGACUAUGCAGGUUCCCUGGCACUGUUCCCAAUUACACAGCAGGUCAGUGACCCCUGAAGUAAAAGGAAACGGAACAUCCAUUUUUUAUAAUCAUGUAAUUGCCUUAUCCAUCCCAUAAUUGUUGUGUCUAUUGUGACCGGAUCAUUGCUUCUGACUGAUGGAAAUCAAAGUCCUAGGUCGGAAAAAUUGCUGGACAAGUUUAAAGGGGUACU